rnacentral:siRNA from 1 species
UGCAAAACCGUGAUAGUGCUGAGC